rfam:Myotis davidii contig70293, whole genome shotgun sequence.
AGUGGUUCUCGGGUGAUGUACCUUAGAAUUGGGCUCCUUCCUCUCUGGUUCCGGGUGUGUCACCCUAGAACUGCA